UGGGACAAGCCCUGGAAACGGGGUCUAAUACCGGAUACUGAUCUGCCUGGGCAUCCAGGCGGUUCGAAAGCUCCGGCGGUGCAGGAUGAGCCCGCGGCCUAUCAGCUUGUUGGUGAGGUAAUGGCUCACCAAGGCGACGACGGGUAGCCGGCCUGAGAGGGCGACCGGCCACACUGGGACUGAGACACGGCCCAGACUCCUACGGGAGGCAGCAGUGGGGAAUAUUGCACAAUGGGCGAAAGCCUGAUGCAGCGACGCCGCGUGAGGGAUGACGGCCUUCGGGUUGUAAACCUCUUUCAGCAGGGAAGAAGCGAAAGUGACGGUACCUGCAGAAGAAGCGCCGGCUAACUACGUGCCAGCAGCCGCGGUAAUACGUAGGGCGCGAGCGUUGUCCGGAAUUAUUGGGCGUAAAGAGCUCGUAGGCGGCUUGUCACGUCGGUUGUGAAAGCCCGGGGCUUAACCCCGGGUCUGCAGUCGAUACGGGCAGGCUAGAGUUCGGUAGGGGAGAUCGGAAUUCCUGGUGUAGCGGUGAAAUGCGCAGAUAUCAGGAGGAACACCGGUGGCGAAGGCGGAUCUCUGGGCCGAUACUGACGCUGAGGAGCGAAAGCGUGGGGAGCGAACAGGAUUAGAUACCCUGGUAGUCCACGCCGUAAACGGUGGGCACUAGGUGUGGGCGACAUUCCACGUCGUCCGUGCCGCA
rnacentral:rRNA from 1 species